UACGGAGGAGGCAAGCGUUAUCCGGAAUUAUUGGGCGUAAAGCGUCCGUAGGCGGCUAGUCAAGUCUGCGGUCAAAGACUGGGGCUUAACCCUGGAAAGGCCGUGGAAACUGACGAGCUAGAGUGCAGUAGGGGUAGAGGGAAUUCCCGGUGUAGCGGUGAAAUGCGUAGAGCUCGGGAAGAACAUCGGUGGCGAAAGCGCUCUACUGGACUGCAACUGACACUCAGGGACGAAAGCUAGGGGAGCGAAUGGG
rnacentral:rRNA from 1 species